rnacentral:rRNA from 1 species
AUCUACAGCCAUGUUACCCUGAACAAGCCCGAUCCUGUCUGAUCUUGGAAGCUAAGCAGGGUUGGGCCCAGUUAGUACUUGGAUGGGAGACCACUUAGGAAGACCAGGUGCUCUAGGCA